rnacentral:misc_RNA from 1 species
UUUCUUUUCCUUUUGCAGGGUGCUUUUUUAAAGCCUUUGUUUUCUAUUUAAAGCACCCAAAAAUACUGGGCAAAGUCAAGAAGUUGAUGCUUAUAGAUAUUUAAGCCUCUUACAUUGAGGUUUUAUUAUUAUCAUUAUUACAAAAGGGUUGGAACCCCAAACCAGGGAAGACAAAGGAGGGAAAACUAUCCCAGUAGUAAUGUCAUAAAGGACCUGACUCAAUCCUGGAGGAGGGCUGUGAAGAUUAUGUAUAUCGGCUGGAAAUGAAAAGGCCAAAGGCCAAAUUAACUAACCAGCUGGAAAUGAAAGUUAUGUAUUUAUGUUGGCUUUAGUCUUCUGCUGCUCUUGUAAACUUGAUUGGAUAAGGAAAUUCAAAUGAUGCAUGAGCAGCAGAAGACUAAAGCCAACAUAAA